rnacentral:rRNA from 1 species
UUAAGCAUAUCAAUAAGCGGAGGAAAAGAAACCAACAGGGAUUGCCCUAGUAACGGCGAGUGAAGCGGCAACAGCUCAAAUUUGAAAUCUGGCUCUCGGGCCCGAGUUGUAAUUUGUAGAGGAUGCUUUUGAUGCGGUGCCUUCCGAGUUCCCUGGAACGGGACGCCAUAGAGGGUGAGAGCCCCGUCUGGUUGGAUGCCAAAUCUCUGUAAAGCUCCUUCGACGAGUCGAGUAGUUUGGGAAUGCUGCUCUAAAUGGGAGGUAUAUGUCUUCUAAAGCUAAAUACCGGCCAGAGACCGAUAGCGCACAAGUAGAGUGAUCGAAAGAUGAAAAGCACUUUGAAAAGAGAGUUAAAAAGUACGUGAAAUUGUUGAAAGGGAAGCGUUUAUGACCAGACUUGGGCUUGGUUAAUCAUCUGGGGUUCUCCCCAGUGCACUUUUCCAGUCCAGGCCAGCAUCAGUUUUCGCCGGGGGAUAAAGGCUUCGGGAAUGUGGCUCUCUCCGGGGAGUGUUAUAGCCCGUUGCGUAAUACCCUGGCGGGGACUGAGGUUCGCGCAUCUGCAAGGAUGCUGGCGUAAUGGUCAUCAACGACCCGUC